rnacentral:rRNA from 1 species
CGAGUUGUCUGGUGAAUUCCGUUAACGAACGAGACCACAGCCUACUAAAUAGUACGUGUUAUGGUAACAUAGUAUGAGACUUCUUAGAGGGACAUGUCGGGGUUACCGAAAGGAAGUUUGUGGCAAUAACAGGUCUGCGAUGCCCUUAGAUGUUCUGGGCCGCACGCGCGCUACACUGACGACUUCAACAAGUUUUUUGGCAUUGCCAAAUUUCCUUGGCCAGAAGGUCUGGGUAAUCUUUUAAAAGGUCGUCGUGAUGGGGCUAGAUUCUUGCAAUUAUUAAUCUCCAACGAGGAACC